rnacentral:lncRNA from 1 species
UUAAGUACGAGGGGGUGGUCCUAUACAUAAGAGGGGUGGUGCCUUGAAUGGUUGGACGCGUUUUGGUGGUGAAAUGGCUGGAGAGUUGGAAGAACUCCAGGGUUAAGCGUGCUCGCUUAACGGAAAUCCUAGGAUGGGUGACCUCCUGGGAAGUUUCCCAUUUCCCCCAAGAACAAAAACCGUGAGGGUGACCUUGUACGGAAGGGCCCAAAGCGGACAAUAUUCAGCCAUGUCAAGGGC